rnacentral:rRNA from 1 species
UGGGGAAUUUUGGACAAUGGGCGCAAGCCUGAUCCAGCCAUGCCGCGUGCGGGAAGAAGGCCUUCGGGUUGUAAACCGCUUUUGUCAGGGAAGAAAUCUUCUGAGUUAAUACCUCGGGAGGAUGACGGUACCUGAAGAAUAAGCACCGGCUAACUACGUGCCAGCAGCCGCGGUAAUACGUAGGGUGCAAGCGUUAAUCGGAAUUACUGGGCGUAAAGCGUGCGCAGGCGGUUUUGUAAGACAGAGGGUGAAAUCCCCGGGCUCAACCUGGGAACUGCCUUUGUGACUGCAAGGCUUGAGUGCGGCAGAGGGGGGAUGGAAUUCCGCGUGUAGCAGUGAAAAUGCGUAGAUAUGCGGAGGAACACCGAUGGCGAAGGCAAUCCCCUGGGCCUGCACUGACGCUCAUGCACGAAAAGCGUGGGGAGCAAACAGGAUUAGAUACCCCUGGUAGUCCACGCCCUAAAACGAUGUCAAC